rnacentral:tRNA from 1 species
CCUUAGCUCAGUCGGUCAGAGCGGGGGACUCAUAAUCCCUUGGUCGCAGGUUCAAGUCCUGCAGGGCC